UUGAGUUUGUAAGAAAACCAUUUUUCGAAGAGCCGUUGACGAGGUUGAUAAGUAUUUCACAAUCGCUUUCGAAAACUAUUGAUGUAUAGCCACAAAUUCAGGUUUAGAUUAUUAAAGUCUGCAUCAAAAAUGCAUUUAUUUGUCGGAUGAAGUGGGGCUAUCCAAGAUUGAGGUUUCUUUGAUGAGAGUACUGUGGGACUGUGAUGGUGUAGAGGAGCAGACUUGGCAGGAAGAGGCAAGGAUGAAGAUAAAGUUCAAGAAGUGGUUCGAGAAGCAGUUCGGGGCUUGAAAUUGUCUAUCCUUGGUUUUCAGUUUGUUGUUCAGCUUUUUGCGGUUGUAUCUUCUUUUCAUUAUGUAUUUUGUUUGGAGUUGUAACG